AUGAUCUGUUGAUAACAAAUUAAAGCCACUGUACCAAGCCAUUAGUUCACUUUGUUACUUCCAGCUUUCCAGUUAUCAAAAAAAUGGAGUAAGGUCUUGAAGACUAAGACCUGGGAUGGGUAACUUCUGCUGAGCUGACAGUCUGGUACAGCAGGAGACCCAGAUGUCAGGUGGGACUGAAGAAACUGGACAACUUGUGGAUAGAAUGAGGGCCUCGUGGAUAAAUUUGAGGAUAAGAAAAAAAAAUACUGUGAAUGUGUACAUUAUCUACUAUAUAUAUACGUAAAAGACAAAGUGUGCAAAUUAUGGAUACAUUUAUAGAAAUUGCUAAAAAUGGUAAUGUAGAUCUAUAUUUAUUGAAACGGAAAGAUGCAGAAGAUGGAUUUCUGUGUGAAAAAUAGUUCAUUUAAAAAACUAUAUUCUCUGUGAAUUUGAAGACUCUGCAUUCCAAGUACUGUUGAAUUUCUCUGAGUGCUGAAUACAGUUAAUUUUUAUGCUCUUUUAUUUACCUUUUUAUGGAAACUAAAUUUUUUUUUUACAAUGAGAAGUCAAUAUUUUACCAUCGCAAACAGCAAUAAAACUCUUCCGUUAUAAUAAGAGGGAGUGCAGGUUGCAGAGGGGAGGCGAGGAUGGUGGCAGUUGCUGGAUGCAGGAAGGGACCAAACAGAGCAAGUGUGAGAAGGUGUUGCAUGGAAAGCAAGGCAUUAGCCCAGGGCCGUAGAAGAAAGAGAAAUGAGAGAGGGGCGGCAAGAAUGGCUAAGGACUUUUCUUCUAUUGCCAGUUUCUUCUGUACUUUUGCCCAGAUCAAUAGAGGAAGUCAAAAGAAAAACAAAAAUGAAAACAUGCAAAUGGCAACUUUAGGUGGUAACAUUUCAUUCAGCUUCUCUGCCUUCUCUGGACUAGUGGAUGGAGUGGAAAUUUAUGGGCUCCCAGUUCCUAUCAUGAGCAGCUGGAGAUCUCAACUUCAUCUUGGAGCCCUACCUCACAAGAGCAUUUCAAGUUCUCAAGGCGUGUCCCAUGGCUGGAAUGAUGUGCUUCACAGAGAAAGGUAAAAUUUCUCCAAGUCUAACUUUUCUUUUAGGGUUUAAAAAAAACCACCUUUUGCGUUUUCUCUCUCUCUCUUUCUCUCAGUCUUUCAGAGUGCAUGGAUACCAACAUAAUUUUAAAAAGUGGAUCAUACGUAAAGUUUAAGGAAGGAUUCUGUUCACUGACAACCACGAGUUCACGAGGCGAUACUUUUUACUAAAUUAAACAAUUGCUUUGACAUAUGGAUACAAGUAAAUGAAUAAUGCUUGUCCAUUCAUUUCGUUAGCCAUUCAACAAGCAAUAAUUUAUGGAGCGACUUCUAUGUAAAAGGCGUGGCUCUGGGCUAAGAACACACAAUGGUGGAUUAAUAGACACACUCGCAGCCCUUAAAGACUCGACAGCCUAGUGAGAUAAAUAGUCUAAAAUGAGAGCAUGGACAAAUAUUUACACCGUAUUAUUUUAUAUUAAGUUACAAGAGGAAAUGACUGGGGUUCUGAUGCCAAAGUAGGAAAAAAAUAUUUUUGUCUCCACUGUCUUCAUAUUGUUUGAUCUCCUCUUUCUUAUUUAUUUAAAUAGCCUCCAAUUUCUUUUGUGUUACUUUCAAAAUUCCUAGUACAUUGUUCUGUACUGAGUAGGUAUGAUAAGUGCCUACUACCACAAAUAGAUAAUAUUUGUAGAGCAUUUUGGGUUUGUCAGUCACCAUAAAAGUGCUCCAUCUAUGUGUGACCUUAUGCUAAAGGCUUCAUAGAAUAAGAGCCAACAUGUAUUGGGUUCUUUUAAUGUGUCAGUGAUUUUCAUGUAGUAUUUAUUUAAUGUUCACAAUAUCCUUGUGCUAGUCAGGGUUCCCCAGAGAAAUAGAACCAAUAGGAUAUAGACACAGAUACAUCAAAGAGAUUUAUUAUAGGAAUGAGUUCACAGGAUUACACAAGCCGAGAAGUCCCAUGACCUGCUAUGUGCAAACUGGAGAACCAGAAAAGCUAGUGGUUCAAAAGCAUGCAAUGGGGGCACUGAUGUCUGAAGUCUCGCUGUGAGUCCAAAGACCCAAAGACCUGGAGUGCCGAUGUCCAAGGGCAGGAGAAAAAUGGAUGUUUCAGCUUAAGCAGAUAGAGCCAAGGCACACUUUCUCCACUUCGUUUGUUCUAACCAAGCCCUCAGUGGGUGGCCUGAUGCCGCCCCACAUCAAUGAAAGGGAUCUUCUUGAAAUCCCUUCUGAAAGGGAUUCAGUCUACAGAUUCGAUCACUCAUCUCUUCUGGAGAUACCCUCACAGAAAUAUCCAGAAAUUCUAUUAUGCCAGCUCUCUGGGCAUCCUUAAGCCCAGCAGAGUGACGCAGAAACUUACCCAUCACCACCCCUGUGAGGUAUUACUCUUAUUAUGGGUUAGGUCAAGUUUCCAUGUUCAAAUACCUGGAAUGCAUCUGGACUCAGAUAUGAUCCUAGCUGGUCUUACUCCAUGAUCUGCUUUCAUAACCACUGUGCUAGGGGGUUCAUAGCAACAUGAUCUAAAAAUACAUUAAACAUAAGAAUCCAUUGCAUAUAUAAAAGAAAAUACUAUUUGGGGAUUUUUUUUUCCAGUUAGUAAUACAUAUGGAACAGGUAUACAUGGGCAGAGUCCCAGUAAUACUCAUUUCUUAUGUGCAACAUGCUCAAAAUGCUUAAAAAGCCCUGCUACUAAACCACAGGAACCCACAGCACAUUAGUGUAUAGGAAUCCACUCUUGAUCUCAGAAGUAUCUGCUAUUUAAAAUAGGAUUUCAAAAGAAGGCGAUACAACUUUAAAAGUGGCUGCACCGGAGCCAGGAGGUGGGGGGUACAAAGAGAGAUCUCUUCGAGGGUAUAAACUUUCAGUUAUAAGAUGAAUAAGGUCUGAGGAUCUAAUGUAUAACAUACUGACUAUAGUUGAUAGCAUUGUCUUGUAUAAUUGAAAUUUGCUAGGAGAGUUGAAGAAUGUUCUCACACGCAAGAAAAAGAAUAAAUGGUUGAUGGAUGUGUUAAUUAACUCA
rnacentral:lncRNA from 1 species